UUAACAUCACAUUGUGAUAAGUAUCAAAUGUUCCCCCUUCAAGAAGGAGCGGAAGAAGAUAGUCCCGAAUUUAGUUGGGGUGCCAAGAAGGGAAAGGGUGCCCUUAACAAGGACGUCCAAUUUUACAAGUCAUUCACUUAUGCUGGAGUUGAAUUCAACUUAUAUGAUUGUGUUUACAUGUAUCGUCAUGGUGAAGAGGAGCCAGACAUUGGUAAGAUCGUUAAGGUGUGGGAAACGAAAACACGGAAAAGGAUAGUCAAGGUGGUAUGGUUUUUCCGUCCCACCGAGCUAACUCAUUGGUUGGGUAAUAUCAAGGUGCUUGGCAAUGAGUUACUGUUGGCUUCAGGAGAAGGCGUAGGGCUUUCAAAUUGCAAUCCAGUGGAAGCCAUCACCGGUAAAUGCAAUGUUGUCUGCAUAUCAAUUGAUAGGAGGAACCCUCAGCCAAAAGACAGAGAUUUGGAAACAGCUGAGUUUUUAUUUUAUCGCACCUUUGAUGUUGGUACUCAGGAGAUAUCUGAGAAAUUUCCAAAUUCAAUAGCGCAAAUUGAAGUGGAGCACUUCUUUAAUAAGGUGACAGAUCUGAAGCAGCCUCUUCAUUAUGGAGGAAAAGGAAGUCUUGACAAGCUACAUUCAUUUGGAGGAGCAACUGUUAAAACACCGCUGAAAGAUGACCAACCAGGAAGAAACACUCAGUCGACGCUGCCACCUGUGACUUUGGUCAAGCAAACUAAAUCCUCCACAAGAACGGACCAGUGCACUACCAUUUCACAGUGUCAGGUGACGGAACUGGUAGAAAAAGAACUGAAUAAAGUCCCAAUUAGUUUAGGCAGACAAGGCAAACAGGGCAAUGUUUCUGAGACGGACAAGACUGUUGCCAGAACUGAAGUAAAACAUUCAUAUUGUACCCCGUCUACUAAUGCAUUGAAGAAGAGAAAGCUUCAAGACUUAUUAGAUACUACACCAUUUGACCAACAUAAGGUCAUGAAAUCCACAAGUCAGGUCAUUGAAGUAACAACAAGGGUGAAGGAGGGUGCUAGCACAUGGUUCAAGGAACGGCCAUGGAAUGAUAGACUCCAAGAAGCUCAAGAGCGAGGUACACUUGUGUUACUUGAGAAUCUUGAUCCUUCAUAUGCAUCAACAGAAGUGGAGGAUAUUGUUAAGCAUGCCUUAAGGCAAACGGUUAGUGCAAAAAUGGUGCAGCAUAACACCUUCUCUAAUCCCCUAAAUGGAAAAGCAUUUCUUAUCUUCAAAUCAAGCGAGGCUGCAGAGAUCGCCAUUUUUGAGUUGAAAAGGAGGUGCCUUAUGUUAGGUGAUGGAAGGCCAGUUGUUGCUCGGAAGGGAACUAUACAGGACCAAGUGAAAAGUAAAGACUUUCCUGGCCAUCUGUCCAUUGGAAAACUCAAAUUUCAAAAGCUAGGAGAAGAAAUGAGAAAAGCAGUAUCAACAUCUCACUAUGCCCAGAGUAACACAAUAGAACAUGAGUUGGCGGUUGAAUGGCGUGUACUACAGGAACAAUCAAGCCUGUGGUGGAAAGCUUUACGUCAGGUGAUUAUGAAGUGUUUAUUCCCCGUCAUUCCUUUUCUACCCUCUCCAGAUUGUUGCUGUUUUCUGCCUGUCCUUUCUAAGUCUAUGAUUUUCUUGUUGCAAGGAACAAGCAGCAGAAAUUGAACAGCUUAAUAGCAAGUUGAAGAACCCUAUUAAGAACUCUGUAUAGGAUCUAACGUCUCGUUUUGUUGGUUUUCUUGUGUCCAAGAAGCAUACAGAUGUGUGGACCCUUUCUGGAUAUGGGGUUGCACCUUAGUACAGAGAUUUUGUUUGUCUAAUGAUAGAAGGCAACCUUUUGUGCAGCACAAACAAUGCAUCUCGUGUAGUUCACUGUGUUGGUGUGACUUCCAGAGCUGUAGGCAGAUAACUAUAGGAUUAGUCAAAUAGCCCUUUUGAUGAACAACCCUUCAUUUAAGGUCAUCAUAUUAAAUCCAUUAGGUAAAAUUUUACAAACUUUCUUUUGGGCACCAAGAGUGUCCUUGUUUUGCAAACUUAAAAAGGGUAUUUAUGUUCAUUGUGAUAUUACAGGGACAAAGUUAAAACAAACCCUUAGACUUGAGGGAUAGUUUUGAUCAUUUUUCUCAUUGGUUGUUUUGUUGCUUGUUAGGAAGGAAGUUAUUCAUGCAUUAAAAGAAGUUAGCGUAGCUUAUAUCAUGUUUAGCUCUUUAGUUGUUUGAUAUAAACUUUGAUGUUCGGUUAUCAUUUUACAAUUCUACAAGAAAACAUGAGUAAAUUAUGAGUCAAUUUGUAAAUAAUUUUGUGCAAGGUAGAAGUUGGAAUAAUUAAAUCAUAUAUUAAUUAAUUUUUGCACUACUAAUAGGAUGAAUACAUCAAUAAUCUCUUAAACUUGAUAGUGAACUUUUUUUAGACACUCGAACUAUAACAUAUUCUGAUAGAGUAUGUGGACAUGUAGAGUGUUCCUAUUAUGCACAUAUUGUCAAGUGUCUACUUAUGUAGAUGGUUAACUAUUUAAAAUAUAUCACCUCAUUUUACUAUAUGCAUUAGCCCCCAUAAGAUGUAAUAUUGUAGGUAUGUUUCAAUUGAUGCUCAUGGGUACAACUAAAUAGGGUGACAUAAUUUAUGUGAAUAUGUAAUAGACAUACAUUUGGGUGUAUGUGAAAAUGUUGCAAAAUGUGAUGUGCAAGCAGACUACCCGUCGGUGAAAUUACCUUUAUCUCCUUCCAUGUGUUAUCAGCUUUUAAAUAAAUAACCAAAAAAAGAAAAGAAGCUAAAGACUUUCUUCCCAGUUCACAACAUCAUAACAACCAGUUUAUUGUUUUUUCCCCUUUUUCAAAUCCAACGUUAUUCAUAACUCAUAUAUGUGGACAGUUCCAAUUUAUUUGACUUGAUUCAGACUAUGAAGGACAAAUCAAUUGAUGUUUGACGUAAAUUUUUUAAUUUUCUGA